rnacentral:lncRNA from 1 species
GGGAGAUAAUAUGCUACUUCCGGUCUCAUAUGAUAGCUUCUUUCACACUGAUUCCAAAAAUAUAUAGUUUCUAUAUACUUUUGCAUGUAGAAUGGGAGAUAAUUGGUUACUUCCGGUUUGUUGGAAGUCAUUUUUAUUCUUCAGUAAUCAGUUUAUGUAUCUAUAUGACAAAAUAUAUGGAUUCUGAGUACUUGUAUGUGAAAAAACUGCAAAAAAAGCUACUUCUGGUUUUCUCAAGGUCACUUCCGGUAGCCAUUUUUCAAGGUCAUUUGUCACUUAACCUUUUGUAUAUGGUCAAAUGUCUUUGUAAUGAACUUACUUGAAGAUAUAAUCAAAUAACCUCAUAUCAAGACAUUUCAGGGGCAACAACUCCUAUAAGAUGCCAUUUAUUUGUAUAAGACUAAAUGUAGCAUAUCUUCAUUACAAUUAAGCAGACAUUUUGCACUUGUUCUUUUUUAUGUAUCUCUCAAAGUGAGGGAGAAAAUGCAAAAACAAGCAAAAGUCACAAUUAAGAAUUUGACCUUGACCUUUGACCUUGACCUCAUUUUCUAAGUUAAGACCUAAGGGACUCAAAUAAAAACAUUCCAGGGUUAUACGGUUAACGGUUUAUGAGUUAAAAAAACAUACCGACAAAUUUAUUCUGUAAAGGUAGAUAACUCCUAUAAAAUUUCAUCAAAUCGCUUCGAUCCAAAUUAGCCAAAAAUUCCUGAGGAUUUGACGAACAAUGUGUAAAAAGAAUUUUGUCGAUAUCUUUUUUUGUUACGAAGGAGAUGCACACAGAUGAUAAACAGUGAAUAGGGAGAUAACUCUCACAAAGAAAAUGGUUCGGCUUAGCUGGGUGAAAUUUAAAAGCGCAUAAACUAUACAAUACAAUAUGAAAAAUAUCUAAGCGACAUAUUGCGAAACAAACAUUUAUCGCAAGAACAAAAUUUGGCGGAAAAAAAAAUAAUAAUCAGAAGAAAAACAAUAAGUCUUUCCACAGAAAAGUGGAAAGACUUAAUUACAAAGAAAAA